AAGAGCUCUGGCCGAAUCAGUGAUGUUUUCCUCUGCCGCCAUGAGAAGAUCUUCCACCCCAACAAAGGCUAUAUAUAUGUGGUAAAGGUGAUGCGAGAGAACACUCACGAGGCCACCUACAUCCAGCGGACCUUUGAGGAGUUCCAGGAAUUACACAAUAAGUUGCGGCUGCUCUUCCCUUCUUCCCACUUGCCCAGGUAGCUGCCCCCUUUACUAUCUGCACAGAGGGAUGUCGGGGAGGGGGAAAGGAUACGGGAUGGGAGGUGGUCAGGGCUGCAGGGGCAGAAAAUACCCUUUUGGACUAAACAUCUGCCUGCUUUGCUUGGCCUGGUAUGGAGUUUGAUGACAAGUGCUCCCCCUGCUGGCCAAGCUCUCCUUGCACGCAAGAGCUCUCACUCCAGGCCCACUGGCCAGAAAGGAAGGCAUGGUUGAAUCUGAUGUUUCAAAAUUUCUAAUUUUUUAAAGAGUUACACCAUUUUUCAAAUGGAUAAGCAAAAUGUCAUAUGUACAUACAGUGGGAUAUUAU
rnacentral:lncRNA from 1 species